rnacentral:rRNA from 1 species
AUACGAAGGGGGCUAGCGUUGUUCGGAAUCACUGGGCGUAAAGCGCGCGUAGGUGGAUCAAUUAGUUGAGGGUGAAAUCCCGGGGCUCAACCUCGGAACUGCCUUCAAUACUGUUGAUCUUGAGACCGAGAGAGGUGAGUGGAAUUCCUAGUGUAGAGGUGAAAUUCGUAGAUAUUAGGAAGAACACCAGUGGCGAAGGCGGCUCACUGGCUCGGUACUGACGCUGAGGUGCGAAAGCGUGGGGAGCAAACAGGAUUAGAAACCCUGGUAGUCC